rnacentral:rRNA from 1 species
GAUUAACGCUAGCGGCAGGCCUAAUACAUGCAAGUCGAGGGGUAACAGGUGUAGCAAUACAUGCUGACGACCGGCGCACGGGUGCGUAACACGUUUGCAACCUACCAAUAACUGGGGAAUAGCCUUCCGAAAGGAAGAUUAACACCGCAUAACAUCAUUCUACGGCAUCGCGGAAUGAUCAAACCUCCGGGGGUUAUUGAUGGGCAUGCGUAACAUUAGCUAGUUGGUGAGGUAACGGCUCACCAAGGCUACGAUGUUUAGGGGGUCUGAGAGGAUGAUCCGUCACACUGGUACUGAGACACGGAACAGACUCCUACGGGAGGCAGCAGUAAGGAAUAUUGGACAAUGGGGGCAACCCUGAUCCAGCCAUGCCGCGUGAAGGAUGACGGCCCUCUGGGUUGUAAACUUCUUUUGUACGGGAAUAAACCCCUCUACGUGUAGAGGGUUGAAUGUACCGUAAGAAUAAGGAUCGGCUAACUUCGUGCCAGCCGCCGCAGUAAAAC